rnacentral:misc_RNA from 1 species
UCAGUCUACUGAUUAUGGUGGACGUGGCCUAGGUGGUGAAUAUUUUUUGUUGUAUUAUGUUUUCAACAUCGUCAUAAUAUAAUAAGGAAAUGUCUGAAGCGAUUGUGCCCAAGGGUCAGCCGACUCCCGGCGGCGAUCCUGAAAAGAAGGGGUGGUUGUUCAAGUGGACAAAUUACUUAAAAGGUUAUCAACGAAGAUGGUUCGUGUUAUCGAAUGGAUUGUUAUCAUACUACAGAAAUCAAGCAGAGAUGGCGCACACAUGCCGCGGCACCAUCUCUCUUCUUGGCGCCCUCAUCCACACGGCGGACUCCUGCACAUUCGUCAUCAGCAACGGCGGCACGCAAACCUUCCACAUCAGGGCCCAUGAUGAGGUGGAGCGGCAGAGCUGGGUGACUGCGCUGGAGCUGGCUAAAGCCAAGGCCAUAAGAGCACAGGAGUCAGACGACGAUGAGGACCAGAUGUCCGGCGGAGCAGUCGUCUGCGCUGAGGGCGAGAGCGAAGACGCCGGUGGCAUCGCGCGCGAACUCGCUGCCAGGUUCCAUGACCUCCGCACCUGUUCGGAGCUGGUGGCGCGGCACGGUUCAGCUCUCCAGCGGUCUUUGGUAGACCUGGAGAUCCCACCUUCAGACACUACGAAACAGGUCUCCGAGCGAGCCACGCUCUUCCGGAUAUCCUGCAACGCCAUGAUGAAUGCUUGUUCAGAAUUCAUGAGCGCAGCGGCAGCUUCGAGCGCGCGGAUGUCGCGCGCUCUACAACACGAGAGGGAUCAGAAAAUGCGGCUCCAGGAGGCGGUAGAGCAGCUGGCCAGACAGCACGACAACUUGGAGAAGGCCGUGUCUCAUCGCACAGGGGGUAACGGCACGGGACAGGGCAAUGAAACAGAAGAUGAAGACCAUGAAUUCUUCGAUGCCAUGGAAGAUGGUGUCAGCUCUACGGAUGACAAAGCACACAAUUCAUUUGUAAUGAAAGUACCUGUAAACAGAAAAAACAAAGUGAAAAGCGGAGAAAGUUCUGAUGACUCGGAGCCUGAAGUUGUAACAGAGACGCAGCAGGUGUACUUCGUGGAAGAGCGGCCAGAGAGCUCCAUGGGAGGCGUGGACGCCGCCGCACCUACCAGCAAACCGCCGGCGGACUCCAAGAGCAUGGACAUCACAGUCUGGCCGCACGUGUCCCAAGUGGUGUCGAUGGUGGACGGGCACCCGCGGCGCACCCGCGUGCCCGACAAGCCCAACUACCCGCUCAGCCUCUGGUCCAUCAUGAAGAACUGCAUAGGAAAAGAAUUAUCAAAAAUCCCGAUCCCGGUGAACUUCAGCGAGCCGCUGUCGAUGCUGCAGCGGCUGGCGGAGGACUACGAGUACUCGUCCGUGCUGGACGAGGCGGCGCGGUUCAGCGACCCGGCGCAGCAGCUCGCCUACGUGGCCGCCUUCACCGUGUCCGCGUACGCCACCACGGCCUGCAGAACGAAUAAACCCUUCAACCCGUUGCUCGGCGAGACUUACGAGUGCGACAGAAUGUCAGACCUCGGCUGGCGGUGUAUCUCAGAACAGGUGUCGCACCACCCGCCCAUGGUGGCGCAGCACUGCGAGGGCGCGGCGGGCUGGCAGUGCUGGCAGGAGUUCACCAUGACCACCAAGUUCCGCGGGAAGUACCUGCAGGUGGUGCCGCUCGGCGCCGCCGCCGCCUGCUUCCCCAGCCAGGGCAACAAGUACACCUGGAGGAAGGUGACAACGACAGUCCACAACAUAAUCGUGGGCAAGCUGUGGGUGGACAACCACGGAGACAUGGACAUAAUCGGCGAGGCGGGCGCCGCGGCCGGCUACGUCGCCCACCUCAAGUACCAGCCCUACGGCUACUUCAGCAAGGACACGCAGCGCAAGGUCACCGGCGUCAUCAAGGACCCCAACGGCGUGGUGAGUGUCUCCUCGAGCACCAGCCCUGCGGCUACUGCAGCAAGGACACGCAGCGCAAGGUCACCGGCGUCAUCAAGGACCCCAACGGCGUGCCUCGCUACGUGCUACAAGGACAUUGGGACAGCCGGGUAGAAGUGGCGCCCGUGACCAGCGCGUCCCCAGACAACACGGUCUGCAAGACCGGCAAGUUCACCGUCGCCUGGCAGCGCAUCGACACACCGCCCGACUCUGACAAAUGGUACAACUUCACUUUGCUGGCGGCGCAGCUGAACGAGCCGGAGCCCGGCGUGGCGCCCACCGACUCGCGGCUGCGGCCCGACCAGCGCCUCAUGGAGGAGGGGCUCUGGGACGAGGCCAACGCGGAGAAG